UACGGAGGGGGCUAGCGUUGUUCGGAAUUACUGGGCGUAAAGCGCACGUAGGCGGCUUUGUAAGUUAGAGGUGAAAGCCCGGGGCUCAACUCCGGAAUUGCCUUUAAGACUGCAUCGCUAGAAUUGUGGAGAGGUAAGUGGAAUUCCCAGUGUAGAGGUGAAAUUCGUAGAUAUUGGGAAGAACACCAGUGGCGAAGGCGGCUCACUGGCUCGUAUCUGACGCUCAGGCGCGACAGCGUGGGGAUCAAACAGG
rnacentral:rRNA from 1 species